GGGAAAUGAGGAGUGGUCAGUUUUUCGCUAAUUAUGCGAAAUGGGUGUCCAGCCCCAAGCCUGUUACUCCGUACGACAAUAUGGGCAUUCCAAUUUAUACCAUAUGAUCCC